GUGUAGUGAUACACGACCCGUGUAGUGAUACACGACCCGUGUAGUGAUACACGACCCGUGUAGUGAUACACGACCCGUGUAUCAUGUCGCAGAUGCGACUUGUGGGGUGCGAAACGCGCAAAACUAAGAGUCAUAACAGCUUUUUAAAUACACCUCUCACCUUGAAACCGUUCAUAAAGACAAAACCCUUCCUCUCCACCUCCCCUAGCCUAUAAAAACCUCUCAAA
rnacentral:misc_RNA from 1 species